CCCGGUAGCAAUAUCGGGGGAAGUGGCGAAAGGGGCAGUAAGGCGUGGAUAACCUACCCUGGGGACUGGGAUAGCCUUCCUAACGGAAGGGUAAUACUGGGCGAUCUGACGAGACGACAUCUUCUUGUCAGGAAAUGAAUUUCGCCUCGGGAGGGGUCCACGUGCUAUUAGCUUGUUGGCGGGGUAACGGCCCACCAAGGCGAAGAUGGCUAGCGGGUGUGAGAGCACGACCCGCGCCACUGGCACUGAGACACUGGCCAGACUCCUACGGGAGGCUGCAGUCGAGGAUCUUCGGCAAUGGGCGCAAGCCUGACCGAGCGACGCCGCGUGUGCGAUGAAGGCCUUCGGGUUGUAAAGCACUGUCGAGGGGGAGAAAGCCGCAAGGUUGAUCGACCCCUGGAGGAAGCACGGGCUAAGUUCGUGCCAGCAGCCGCGGUAAGACGAACCGUGCGAACGUUGUUCGGAAUCACUGGGCUUAAAGGGCGCGUAGGCGGGUGGCCAAGUCGGUGGUGAAAUCCUCCAGCUUAACUGGAGAACGGCCUUCGAUACUGGUCGCCUUGAGGGGGGUAGGGGCAGACGGAACUUCCGGUGGAGCGGUGAAAUGCGUAGAUAUCGGAAGGAACGCCGGCGGCGAAAGCGGUCUGCUGGACCCCCACUGACGCUGAGGCGCGAAAGCCAGGGGAGCAAACGGGAUUAGAUACCCCGGUAGUCCUGGCCCUAAACGAUGAGAACUAGGUUGUGGACUUGACAUGGGUUCACAGCCGAAGCCAAAGUGCUAAGUUCUCCGCCUGGGGAGUAUGGUCGCAAGGCUGAAACUCAAAGGAAUUGACGGAAUCGA
rnacentral:rRNA from 1 species